rnacentral:rRNA from 1 species
CCUUGUCGGGUAAGUUCCGACCUGCACGAAUGGCGUAACGACUUCUCUGCUGUCUCAACCACGAACUCGGCGAAAUUGCAUUACGAGUAAAGAUGCUCGUUACGCGCAGCAGGACGGAAAGACCCCGAGACCUUCACUAUAGUUUGGUAUUGGGCUUCGGUGUGGUUUGUGUAGGAUAGGUGGGAGAUGUUGAAGCCUGGUCGCCAGAUCGGGUGGAGUCGGCAAGUGAAAUACCACUCUGACCAUUCUGGAUUCCUUAACUUCGGACCCUGAUCGGGUUCAGGGACAGUGCCUGAUGGGUAGUUUAACUGGGGCGGUUGCCUCCUAAAGAGUAACGGAGGCGCCCAAAGGUUCCCUCAGCCUGGUUGGCAAUCAGGUGUCGAGUGUAAGUGCACAAGGGAGCUUGACUGUGAGACGGACGUGUCGAGCAGGAGCGAAAGCUGGGACUAGUGACCCGGCCAUGGCUUGUGGAAGCGUGGUCGCUCAACGGAUAAAAGGU